rnacentral:rRNA from 1 species
UAGGUGAUGGACAACAGGUUGAUAUUCCUGUACUACCGAUAACCAUUUGAGAGAAGGGAUGACACAGUAGGAUAAGCUAAGCACACUGUUGGUUAUGUGUGCCCAAGCAUUGAGGCAGUCAAAGCAGGCAAAUCCGCUUUGAUAAUGCUGGGAUGUGAUGGGGAGCGAAAUUUAGUAGCGAAGUAGCUGAUUUCACACUGUCAAGAAAAGUCUCUAUCGAGGUUAAAGGUACCCGUACCGCAAACCGACACAGGUGGGUGAGGAGAGUAUCCUAAGGCCAGCGAGAGAACUGUUGUUAAGGAACUCGGCAAAAUGACCCCGUAACUUAGGGAUAAGGGGUGCCACCAUCCGGUGGCCGCAGAGAAUAGGCCCAAGCGACUGUUUACCAAAAACAUAGGUUUCUGCUAAGUCGCAAGACGAUGUAUAGGAGCUGACGCCUGCCCGGUGCUGGAAGGUUAAGGGGAUCUGUUAGAGCAAUCGAAGCAGUGAACUUAAGCCCCAGUAAACGGCGGCCGUAACUAUAACGGUCCUAAGGUAGCGAAAUUCCUUGUCGGGUAAGUUCCGACCCGCACGAAAGGCGUAACGAUUUGGGCACUGUCUCAACAACAGACUCGGUGAAAUUGUAAUUCCGGUGAAGAUGCCGGAUACCUGCGACAGGACGGAAAGACCCCAUGGAGCUUUACUGUAGCUUGACAUUGGGUCUUGGUACUACAUGUACAGGAUAGGUGGGAGGCUUUGAAACCAGGACGCCAGUUUUGGCGGAGCCAUCCUUGGGAUACCACCCUUGUAGUACUGGGACUCUAACCAUAGGCCAUGAAUCUGGUCUUGGGACACUGUCAGGUGGGCAGUUUGACUGGGGCGGUCGCCUCCCAAAAGGUAACGGAGGCGCUCAAAGGUUCUCUCAGUACGGUCGGAAAUCGUACGUAGAGUGUAAAGGCAAAAGAGAGCUUGAUUGCAAGACAUACAGGUCGAGCAAGGAUGAAAAUCGGACUUAGUGAUCCGGUGGUUCUGCGUGGAAGGGCCAUCGCUCAACGGAUAAAAGCUACCCUGGGGAUAACAGGCUUAUCUCCCCCAAGAGUCCACAUCGACGGGGAGGUUUGGCACCUCGAUGUCGGCUCAUCACAUCCUGGGGCUGUAGUAGGUCCCAAGGGUUGGGCUGUUCGCCCAUUAAAGUGGUACGCGAGCUGGGUUCAGAACGUCGUGAGACAGUUCGGUCCCUAUCCGUCGCAGGCGUAGGAAAUUUGAGAAGACCUGUCCUUAGUACGAGAGGACCGGGAUGGACG